rnacentral:rRNA from 1 species
GACACGACUUUCGGCAAUGGAUAUUUCGGCUCUCGCAUCGAUGAAGAGCGCAGCGAAAUGCGAUACGUGGUGCGAAUUGCAGAAUCCCGCGAAC